CCUACGGGCGGCUGCAGUGGGGGAUAUUGCACAAUGGGGGAAACCCUGAUGCAGCGACGCCGCGUGGGUGAAGAAGUAUUUCGGUAUGUAAAGCCCUAUCAGCAGGGAAGAAAGAAGACGGUACCUGACUAAGAAGCCCCGGCUAACUACGUGCCAGCAGCCGCGGUAAUACGUAGGGGGCGAGCGUUAUCCGGAUUCACUGGGUGUAAAGGGAGCGUAGACGGCCGUGCAAGCCAGGAGUGAAAGCCCGGGGCACAACCCCGGGACUGCUCUUGGAACUGUGCGGCUGGAGUGCGGGAGGGGCAGGCGGAAUUCCUGGUGUAGCGGUGAAAUGCGUAGAUAUCAGGAGGAACACCGGCGGCGAAGGCGGCCUGCUGGACCGCGACUGACGUUGAGGCUCGAAAGCGUGGGGAGCGAACAGGAUUAGAUACCCUUGUAGUC
rnacentral:rRNA from 1 species